GGCAAUAUAGCUCAGCUGGUUAGAGCACAGCAUUCAUAAUGCUGGGGUCGCAGGUUCAAGUCCCGCUAUUGCUACCA
rnacentral:tRNA from 11 species